rnacentral:rRNA from 1 species
CAGUCGCCGCGGGAAAACGUAGGUGGCAAGCGUUGUCCGGAAUUAUUGGGCGUAAAGGGCUCGCAGGCGGUUUCUUAAGUCUGAUGUGAAAGCCCCCGGCUCAACCGGGGAGGGUCGUUGGAAACUGGGAAACUUGAGUGCAGAAGAGGAGAGUGGAAUUCCACGUGUAGCGGUGAAAUGCGUAGAGAUGUGGAGGAACACCAGUGGCGAAGGCGACUCUCUGGUCUGUAACUGACGCUGAGGAGCGAAAGCGUGGGGAGCGAACAGGAUUAGAUACCCCUGUAGUCCCUGUCUCUUAUAC